CCAGCACCUUAUGGUAUAAAUCAACAAAGAAUGACCUCACUUUGUUGUAUAGAAAGUCUCAUAACUAAGGAAGCAUAUAUGAGUUUUCUGAGUCAAGACCUAUAGUAACUGUUUGGGGUUUUGUUAGGUUAGGUUAGGUUAAGUUUAGGAUAUCUUCAAACACAUGAUAGCCAGCACCUUAUGGUAUAAAUCAACAAAGAAUGACCUCACUUUGUUGUAUAGAAAGUCUCAUAACUAAGGAAGCAUAUAUGAGUUUUCUGAGUCAAGACCUAUAGUAACUGUUUGGGGUUUUGUUAGGUUAGGUUAGGUUAAGUUUAGGGUAUCUUCAAACACAUGAUAGCCAGCACCUUAUGGUAUAAAUCAACAAAGAAUGACCUCACUUUGUUGUAUAGAAAGUCUCAUAACUAAGGAAGCAUAUAUGAGUUUUCUGAGUCAAGACCUAUAGUAACUGUUUGGGGUUUUGUUAGGUUAGGUUAGGUUAAGUUUAGGGUAUCUUCAAAUACAUGAUAGCCAGAACCUUAUGGUAUAAAUCAACAAAGAAUGCCUUCACUUUGUUGUAUAGAAAGUCUCAUUA